AUGGAACCGUCGCCGGCGAGCGCGGCCGCACGUGCUGCUCCUUUGCAGCCCGUGCAUGGGCACCUCAUCCCAUUCGCCGAGCUGGCGCGCCAGCUCGUCGCCGACCACGGCGUCGCCGCCACGCUCCUCUUCGCCGCGGCCACGGAUGCUCCCUCGGAGCAGUACACCGCCCUGGCCGCGUCCGUGCCCGACGGCGUCGACCUCGUCGCGCUGCCCGCGCCACCGGCGGACGCCCUGCCGCCCUCGACCCCCGUGCGCGAGCGCGUCGUGCACGCCGCCCUCUCGACUGUCCCGCACGUCCGGGGCAUCGCCCGGUCGCUGGCCUCCUCCGCGCCGCUCGCCGCGCUCGUGGUGGACAUGGCCAGCGUGCCGGCGCGCGACGUCGCCACGGAGCUGGGCGUGCCGUGCUAUAUGUUCUUCACCUCGCCGUGGAUACUCCUGUCCCUGUUCCUGCACCUCCCGGAGCUCGACGCGGGCCUCGUCGGGGAGUACCGGGACGGGACCGAGCCCAUCCGGCUGCCGGGCUGCGUGCCGAUCCACGCGCACGAGCUUCCCGGGUUCCUGCUUGCUGACCGGAGCAGCGACACGUACGCCGUGUUGCUGUCCUUGGCCAAGGACGCCACGAGAGUCGACGGGAUUCUCGUGAACACGUUCCGUGAGGUGGAGCCCGCGGUGGGUGAAGGCGCGGACUGUGUGAAGGGCAUGCCAGUGCACGCGGUCGGGCCGUUGGUAUGGACCAGGCCGGUCGCAGUUGGCGUGAACCGGGAGCUGGAGCACGCACGCCUCAUCACGUGGCUGGACCAGCAGGCACGUGGUUCCGUGGUCUUCCUGUCGUUCGGGAGCGGUGGCACGCUCACCCGGCGGUAG
rnacentral:rRNA from 1 species